GAUGAACGCUGGCGGCGUGCCUAACACAUGCAAGUCGAGCGAUUUACUUCGGUAAAGAGCGGCGGACGGGUGAGUAACGCGUGGGUAACCUGCCCUGUACACACGGAUAACAUACCGAAAGGUAUGCUAAUACGAGAUAAUAUACUUUUAUCGCAUGGUAGAAGUAUCAAAGCUCCGGCGGUACAGGAUGGACUCGCGCCUUAUUAGCUAGUUGGUAAGGUAACGGCUUACCAAGGCGCCGCUUAGUAGCCGACCUGAGAGGGUGAUCGGCCACAUUGGAACUGAGACACGGUGCAAACUCCUCCGGGAGGCAGCAGUGGGGAACAAUGGACAAUGGGCGAAAGCCUAAUGCGGCAACGCCGCGUGGGCGAUGAAGGCCUUCGGGUCGUAAAGCUCUGUCCUCAAGGAAGAUAAUGACGGUACUUGGGGAGGAAGCCCCGGCUAACUACGUGCCAGCAGCCGCGGUAAAAC
rnacentral:rRNA from 1 species